rnacentral:lncRNA from 1 species
CUGAGAAUGAAUGGAGCCUUCUCUGUCUCCUCAGGUGAAUGGCAGCUGUGAGCAUCCAGGCUGCUCCUGGCCGCCUUUGAACGGGGCCUUUGUCUCAGGGAAACUGAUCUCUCUGUGGCACCUGGUUCUGUUAGUUGGGGCAGGAGCCAACUUCCUGCUGGGGCAGCUCUGAGCCCCAGGGGACCUCAGCACCACACCUCUGCCCCUCCUGUGUGGGUGGGUCCUCUCUGGGGGCUGCUCCCGGCCACCACUCCUUCCCCUCUCCCCACCCUCUGGGCCAUGUUAGAAGGGAUCACACCACCCUGGCUGUCCAUUGGAGGAACUCCACCUUCUGGGAGACAGAGGGGGUGUGGUGGGGGGGUGGCGGCUAGGCCUCCUCAGGGGACAAGGGCAAUGAAAUAAAUGUCAGCCAUUGUCUUGCCUUCCCUGCCCCCCACCCCCAUAAUGGAACUACCCCCUCCUGGAUGCUUCCAGAGGGCUGCAGUGCUGUGCCAGCCCUGCCUUGUGGGCCAGUCAGAAGAGCCACCAACGCAAGCCACGCCCCACCCUGCCAGCACGUCUUCCUGGGUCCUCAGGGAAAGAGGAAUGUAGCAACAGGAGGCCAUCCCUGUUUGCACACGUGGGAGCCACACCCCACUCUGCACAGCCCCAGGAGGUGAUUUCAGACCCAGAGCCUCUUAACCCUUUCCACUUCCCACCAGGUGUGGCGAGGCACUCUGUAAUCACAGUGACUCAGAGGCUGGAGUAGGAAGAUCUCAAGUUCAGGGCCAGUGUCAGCAAGUUAGUGAAACCCUGCCUUCAAAAUAAAGUUAAAAAGGGCUGGGGAUGUGGCUCAGUAGUAAAGCACCCCUGAAUUUGAUCCCCGAAUUUCUUGUGUUAGAAACUUAAUCCUCAAGUUCAUGUCAUUGGUAAUUGGAGAGCGGCCUUUGGGAGGUCAUUAGCCUUAGAGGAAUUCAUGAGGGUGAGCCCCUAUGAUGGCAUUAGUGGCUUUAUGAAAAGAGGAAAGCAGACCCGAGCUAACACACAUGGUAUGUCUUACCAUGUGAUACCCUCCACCAUGUAAAAUGCAAGAAGGCGGCCCACACCAGAUGCUAGCACCAUGCUCUUGAACUUCACAGCCUCCAGAAUUGUGAGCCAAAUAAAUCUCUUUUCUUUAUAAAUUAUCC